UACGUAGGGUGCAAGCGUUGUCCGGAAUUAUUGGGCGUAAAGAGCUCGUAGGUGGCCUGUCGCGUCGGCUGUGAAAACUCGGGGCUCAACUCCGAGCUUGCAGUCGAUACGGGCAGGCUAGAGUGCGGCAGGGGAGACUGGAAUUCCUGGUGUAGCGGUGAAAUGCGCAGAUAUCAGGAGGAACACCGGUGGCGAAGGCGGGUCUCUGGGCCGAUACUGACACUGAGGAGCGAAAGCGUGGGGAGCGAACAGGAUUAGAUACCCUGGUAGUCC
rnacentral:rRNA from 1 species